UCCUUCCUUCUUCUUGUGUCCUUCUCAUCUGUCACUUCUUGGGGAGGAAAUGAAGUUUCAGACCUUUGGAAUUCCAGAGGGAUCUAAACUCGUCUCCGGGAACUGUGCUUAUCUCCAGCCACCCUUAAACCAUGCUGAGGAACCCGGAGGGAGCUGACCAGGGCUGUUCCUCAGACACCCCUCUACACUGCAAACAGCCUGCAGCUUUCACCGUAUGUGGCGACUGUAGAUAAAGAGUUUGAUUGUUCUCCUGGUCAAAUAGAUCCACUCCCCACAUCUCUCUACCCCGUUCUCUAAGAAGCUGGCCUGAAGGACUAUUCCAACAGGCUCCUUGUCCUUCAUCUUCCAGCUGGAUUCAGCCAAUAGAAGGUUCA